rnacentral:tRNA from 1 species
GGGGAUUUGGCUCAGUGGUAGAGCGUUUGCCUAGCAAGCGCAAGGUCCUGGGUUCGGUCCCCAGCUCCA